AGGCGACGACGGGUAGCCGGCCUGAGAGGGUGUCCGGCCACACUGGGACUGAGAUACGGCCCAGACUCCUACGGGAGGCAGCAGUGGGGAAUAUUGCACAAUGGGCGCAAGCCUGAUGCAGCGACGCCGCGUGGGGGAUGACGGCCUUCGGGUUGUAAACCUCUUUCAGUACCGACGAAGCGUAAGUGACGGUAGGUACAGAAGAAGCACCGGCCAACUACGUGCCAGCAGCCGCGGUAAUACGUAGGGUGCGAGCGUUGUCCGGAAUUACUGGGCGUAAAGAGCUCGUAGGUGGUUUGUCGCGUUGUUCGUGAAAACCUGAGGCUUAACCUUGGGCGUGCGGGCGAUACGGGCAGACUGGAGUACUGCAGGGGAGACUGGAAUUCCUGGUGUAGCGGUGGAAUGCGCAGAUAUCAGGAGGAACACCGGUGGCGAAGGCGGGUCUCUGGGCAGUAACUGACGCUGAGGAGCGAAAGCGUGGGGAGCGAACAGGAUUAGAUACCCUGGUAGUCCACGCCGUAAACGGUGGGUACUAGGUGUGGGUUUCCUUCCUUGGGAUCCGUGCUCGUAGCUAACGCAUUAAGUACCCCGCCUGGGGAGU
rnacentral:rRNA from 2 species